rnacentral:tRNA from 1 species
GCCCUGGUGGUCCAGUGGUUAGGACUUGGCACUUUCACUGCUGUGGGCCUGGGUUCAAUCCCUGCUUGGGGA